GAGCCACCGUGCCUGGCCUACUUUUUUAUAUCAAGUUGUGUGUGUUUGCUUUUGUUUUGUUUUAGAGAUGGGGUCUCACUCACUCCGUCACUCUGUUGCUCAGGCUAGAGUGCAAUGGUGUGAUAACUCACUGUAGCCUCAGACUGGGCUCCAGGAAUCCUCCUACCUCAGCUUCCCACAUCAGGCUAAAUUUUUUUUUUUUUUCCAAGACAGUCUUGCUCUGUCACCCAGGCUGAAGUGCAGUGGUACGAUCUCAGCUCAUUGCAACCUCUGCCUCCCAGGUUCAAGUGAUUCUCCUGCCUCAGCCUCCAGAGGAGCUGGGGUUACAGAAGCCCACAACUGCGC
rnacentral:lncRNA from 10 species